UGCACCUCCCAAGCCAGCCCUUACAAAGUGUCCAUACCCAGGCCAGCACGGGGGACAAGAUUCUGUGACUGAGACAACCCCAGCUUUGUAGCAACCAAGGAGCACAGAAUCUCUUGUGAGGAGGAUUGUUGGAGACCCAGUGUUGGGAAUAUGGGAGGAGUUCCCGACCUGGAAGCUAAACUGGAUAGAGAUCCCAGACCUUAAGGAAUGUGUUGCAAUGCAGACUCAGAAAUGCUAGCUGCCCAAAUCCCAAUGAAUCCUAGCUGCAGAAACCACUGCUUCUCCAGCAUCAUCUCUCUUUUGGCAUCGAGCUCGUGUUUGAGACCUUUCAAAUGCUGCAGAAGAUGCUUCUUGCUCAAGAAAAAAUUAUCUCAUCUCUUGGGAGGGAACAGACUGGAAGUUGCAGCUCACAAACUGUGUUGCAUUUUAAAAACACCCUCCCCCGAGGCCUGGGGCAGACGCGGUGCAGGAGGGAGCUCCCCGUGCUGAGAGGACAAAGGCUGCUGGAGAGGACCCUGGGGUGGCUGGCCCAGCACUCGCCCUGUCCCGAGAAUGGCUUUGCCUUUUGCGAGCAGCCCGAGGAGAUUAGAGCAGCCCGACUGCUGCAAUCAGCCCUCCGGAUUCCUCUGCUCCCCGGAGCUGAGCUGCAACCAGCAUCUGGCCCCACCGUGACCUUGGUCUACUGAAAGGACAUUGGACUGAAGGACUUUUUAAUUUUCUCUCUCUUUUUCCCCUCCCAUUUUCUUUAUUCGCUUUCCCUCCCUGCCCCCUCCUAUUUUUUUGUCGUGUAUUUCGGACUGCUGUGGAUUAGAGAGUCUCUGUUGUAAAGGAGAGGGGCUCAGAUGUUAUCAGUGUUAUCAGUUCGUCUGUAAGUGAUGCUUUACAGCCAGGCAGCCUGGAGCUGAGCAACUGUGCCAUCAUCAGGCUCGGAUCAGCAGCACAAAGUCGGGGAGACGUCGCGGGAGCU